UGUUGCUUAUAAAUAAGCAUUAAUCUAUUUCUCUAAAGUAUAGAUUACUUCCAAUGAUGACGCAAAAAUAUCAACUUAAACUAGUGCUUGUCAAACAAAUUGUACAGUCACCUGCCUUCACCUUCACUGCGUCGUUGAUGACUGAUUUUUUGGAAAAUAAAUUAAAAAAAUUCUAAUAGCAGAGCACACAUCCGGUAACGUAGUCCACACAUUAUAUCCCCUUUGUUGUUAUGGUUGAAAGCCACUCUUUGUGUUCAUGGACGAUUGCACCGAUGAAUUUUAGUUCAUGCUCUAAAUUUAUCAGGUACACCUUAACUCAAUUCAGACAAAAAAUCUCUAAAAUGAGAACUUUUAAAGAAAGACCAGUAAAGAACUUAUCAACACAUUGUAGUUUCAUUUUUAUACCUGUAAUCUUGACUUUUUAACCUAGGGGAUGAGUACUUAAGGGGGUUAUAUUUUGAUAAGUUCUUUGGUGGGAAUGACUGAUGAAGACUGCACAUUGUAGUCGAUAUACGUAUCUGUCAUGGAUACCAAAAUUAAUUAAGUGGAAUUAAAUGGAAGAUAACCUUUUUUUGCUGUUUUAUUUAUUACAGUAGUUUGAUCUAUUGUGGUAUACCCCGUGUGCUUAGUGUAGUGCAUGUCGUGUUAAUAUAUCUCUAUUGAGAAAUGGUUUUGAUACAGAUGUCAUUCUUGCCACACUCCAAAGGCGCGUCCCUUUGUCAGUCGUAAUCGGAUUCCUUAACAACAAAGUUAAGGAAUGACACCGAUAUUGACCAUGUAUCAGACCCUAGAAAACAACGAAUAAAAGAUUAGGAAUCACAUAGAUGAAGACUAACUAACUCAUUUUUCCUUAUUUCAAGAUCAUCCUCGGCGUUAAAAGUAACAAGGACUAAGAUGUGUUUCUUUUGAUUACUGAAAAGUCCUGUUCUCCUAGUUUGAAGUAGUCAGAACUAGGGUUCGAUGGUAGAUCUUACACCGUAACGCGCACCACGAAAAGGUGAUCUACCCGCGUUGCGUGGGAUCCUUAUGUUUACAUUUACGGAAUGCUGUCGGAAUUCAAGCACAAAAUCCAUUUGGCAUAAGGGUCAUUUGACUUUUAUGACUAUUAUUAGUUAUUUAGAAUAACGCAUCGCAUUAUAUUGUUGGAAAUUACAUUCACUGAAAAAAUAACAAGUUCUAGUUAAUCAUGCAUAAGAGAUACAGAUUUGAAUUGCUGACAAAAGUUGUAGUUAAUCAUGAAACCUACAAAACCUUCAUGGAUAAUUUUACCGAAAUAUGUUGAUGAAAAAAGUUAGCGGCAAAUGAAUGUAAAUGAAUGCACGAAAUGAAGGUAAAUGAUUUCCUAUGCCUGCUUACGGUACACAAUAUUUUGUUGUACCUAUCGUAAUCGAAUUCUGUUAUUAAGCAUUUUAAGUCCAAUAUAUUGAAUAUUAAUUCAAGUCCGGA